rnacentral:lncRNA from 1 species
GACUGCAGCACGCCAGGCUUCCCUGUCCUUCACUGUCUCUUGGAGUUUGCUCAAACUCGUGUCCAUUGAAUCGGUGAUGCCAUCCAACCAUCUCAUCCUCUGUCGUCCCCUUCUCCUCAGAUUUGAAACAAAUUGUAUUUAUUUAUUUAUGCCUAUUUUGAGAUGAGUCUUUAUUAUUAUCCUGGAAAUCUGGAAUAUAUUUUUAAGUUUUCAGAAGGAAUUCUGAAACUAAAAGCUUUUUUUUUUUUUUUUUAAUAGGAGGGGAGAGAGUUUUAAGACAGCAAACAUUUAUUUCAUAGGCAAGCAAAAGGACAUUAUAUGAUGCUAAAAAAGACAAAUAAGGGGAAUUUCUUCAGCAGUAACUAAAGUCAAUGAAGAAAGUAAAGGACUUGCACAAGUUUCCUAGCUGAUUCUGCCAACUGAAAUAGUUUUAUUAUGCUGUUCUUGUGGACAGAAUGAGUCUCAAAACUGAAAUCAAUUCAAUAAUUGUCCAAAUCCAUCUGAGGCCCUGUGUCUGUAUAAACUGAUUUCCAUGGCUGCUCCUCCAUGUAAGACUUUGCCAUUCUCUGCCUCCAAAAGGACUUGGAUCUAGGAUGACCAUAGCAUCAGGAACUCUGUUCGGGGCUAGAUUUCACGUCAGACAGAAAGGUUAUCGUGGAGACACAAAAAAACAUAUGUUCUUGGGCGUAUAGGUUUGAACCAUAUUUAAAUCAUAUGAGAUGAUAACAUUGAGUAGAACUGGUUGAGUAUCACACAUAAACAUUCAAAGUGGAUUAAUUUUAUUUUGCAUUACGUUCCAUUUGGAUUCUCUUAAACAAAAAGCCAUCAUUUUUUCUACAACCACCAAUUUUAUAGCAGAUGUUAUACAUUCUUUGAAAGCAAAGACUGUGACAUUUAUCUUUGUAUUUCUUUCAGCACCUAUGUAAAGAUUUCUAAUAAAUGCUUGAUGGAUAUAUUAAUGGUUUCUUUA